rnacentral:rRNA from 1 species
GUGCCAGCCGCCGCGGUAAUACCGGCAGCCCGAGUGAUGACCGAUCUUAUUGGGCCUAAAGCGUCCGUAGCUGGCCGCACAAGUCCGUCGGGAAAUCCGCCCGCUCAACGGGCGGCCGUCCGGCGGAACCUGUGUGGCUUGGGACCGGGAGGCCUGAGGGGUACGUCCGGGGUAGGAGUGAAAUCCCGUAAUCCUGGACGGACCGCCGAUGGCGAAAGCACUUCGAGAAAACGGAUCCGACAGUGAGGGACGAAAGCCAGGGUCUCCAACCGGAUUAGAAACCCUAGUAGUCC